AUAGAAGGAAGAGAACUACAACUCCCAUCACUACGUGACCCGCAUUGGUUGACAGCCAGGAGUGUCUUUCUUUUGACCCAAACAAAAGAAUAAUACACAAUGUGAGUCAUGGAAAGCAGAAAAUGUUAUUUCUGGCCAUGUGGUCACAUUAGCCUUCUUACAUAACACAGGCCUGUUUGGGACCAAAUAGAGGAUAGGAAGAAGGAACCAGGAACACGAAGUCCAAUUUUUUUUUUUCAACUGUAGACGUGCAUAAAUCAGCCUGUAGUGUGUUAUUAAAUGUUCUCAUCCCAUCUGCUCGCUGGAUUUGCCCAGGCCUUCGAGAAGGAGAAGAGACUUUGUGUACUGGCAGCCUGCUGUGGUCCUUCACACUAUCCCACAUGUUGUUUUAUUGUAACUCUGCUGUACUAUUUUAAAGCAAGAAAUGUUUGCUUUUGUCUGAGAAAUCCCACACAGUGGCAGUUUUGUUUGUCUUCUGACACUUAGUACCUUUUGCAGACGCCAGGCUAAAUCAUUAUGUACACUCAUUAAGGAAUGCAAUGGUUGUAUAAGGUCAUUCCCAUGUCAUAUGACCACCUUAAAUUAGUUGGAAAACACACUUUAAAAAAAAAAAAAAAAAUUAAGGGA